CCUACGGGAGGCAGCAGUAGGGAAUUUUCGGCAAUGGGGGCAACCCUGACGGAGCAACGCCGCGUGAACGAAGAAGUUAUUCGUAAUGUAAAGUUCUGUCAACAGGGAAGAAAGAGAAAUUAGACGAUACCUGAAGAAUAAGCACCGGCUAAUAACGGGCCAGCAGCCGGGGUAAUACGCAGGGGGCGAGCGUUUUCCGGAAUUAUGGGGGGUAAGGGGACCGUAGAGGGCAUAGAAGGUCUUUGGGAAAAAUGGUGGGCUAAACCCAGUAGUGCAAAAGAUACUGCAAAGCUAGAGUAUGAGAGAGGGAAGCGGAAUUACAUGUGUAGCGGUAAAAUGCGUAAAUAUAAGUAAGAACACCAGUGGCGAAGGCGGCUUGCUGGGUCGAUACUGACAUUGAGGCACGAAAGCGUGGGGAGCAAACAGGAUUAGAUACCCGAGUAGUC
rnacentral:rRNA from 1 species